rnacentral:rRNA from 1 species
AUGAACGCUGGCGGCGUGCCUAAUACAUGCAAGUCGAGCGAACAGACGAGGAGCUUGCUCCUCUGACGUUAGCGGCGGACGGGUGAGUAACACGUGGAUAACCUACCUAUAAGACUGGGAUAACUUCGGGAAACCGGAGCUAAUACCGGAUAAUAUAUUGAACCGCAUGGUUCAAUAGUGAAAGACGGUUUUGCUGUCACUUAUAGAUGGAUCCGCGCCGCAUUAGCUAGUUGGUAAGGUAACGGCUUACCAAGGCAACGAUGCGUAGCCGACCUGAGGGGGUGAUCGGCCACACUGGAACUGAGACACGGUCCAGACUCCUACGGGAGGCAGCAGUAGGGAAUCUUCCGCAAUGGGCGAAAGCUUGACGGAGCAACGCCGCGUGAGUGAUGAAGGUCUUCGGAUCGUAAAACUCUGUUAUUAGGGAAGAACAAAUGUGUAAGUAACUAUGCACGUCUUGACGGUACCUAAUCAGAAAGCCACGGCUAACUACGUG